GCCUCAUUAGCUCAGGGGUUAGAACAAUGGUCUAGUAAACCAGCGGUCCAGAGCUCAAUUCUCUAACGGGGCU
rnacentral:tRNA from 1 species